GCGCCCGUAGCUCAGUUGGCAGAGCGGCGGAACGGUGAUCCACAGUCCCGGGUUCAAGUCCCGGCGGUCGCU